AGCAGGGUGUGGUGCUGGGGAGCUCAAGCAGCUUGCGAGAGGAGACAGGCCUUCUCUGAAGCUUACUUGAAAAAAAAUCUCUCAGAUAUACUCUGUCCUCCAAGCGCUGCUUCCCUGCUCGUUUUUCGGCGGAGCCCGUGACUGCUGAUAAAGGCAAUCCUGUCAGAGCCCGAACCGCCAGCUCAGGCCGCUGCAUUAGUGCCAUCCGCAGCAUAUUCUUUCCCAGCCUUCUUUUCACUGAACCACAAAAUGAGCAGGGGCACAGCUCCAAUUCACAAGAAUUUACAAGAUUCAAGUGUGAAGAACCACCUUGGAGCACAAAGGCCGAUGAGAACUGAAAUACUGAAACUGAAAAACUGAAACCUAAGCUACACUAACAAAAACUGUUAGAAGAACAUUUGGGUGACGGAAGCAUGGCACCUGCACCAGAAAGUGACCAGAUUAAAUCUUGGGGCCACUGGGAUAGGAAGUGAGAAGACAGGAAAAGGGUUUUGCAAAAUAUAGUAAAGGUCCUGAAUCAUGACGGCAACAAAGAAAAAGAUAAAGGACAUAUUUACUUGAUUUUGGCUCAUUUCUUCUUACCUGUAACUUCAGGAGGGCCUGACCAUGCUUCAAGACUGCAAAUGUUCUAUCCUGUGCUUAUUGAUAUUUAACUUAAGUACUUGGCCUUACUGAACAAAUGCAUUACUAA